rnacentral:rRNA from 1 species
CCUACGGGAGACAGCAGUGAGGAAUAUUGGUCAAUGGUCGCGAGCCUGAACCAGCCAAGUCGCGUGAGGGAGGACGGUCCUAUGGAUUGUAAACCUCUUUUGUCAAGGAACAAAGCCUGGCACGUGUGCCCUGCUGAAUGUACCUUACGAAUAAGGAUCGGCUAACUCCGUUCCAGCAGCCGCGGUAAUACGGAGGAUCCGAGCGUUAUCCGGAUUUAUUGGGUUUAAAGGGUGCGUAGGGGGGUUGUUAAGUCAGUUGUGAAAGGUCCGGGCUUAACCCCGGAACUGCCUUUGAUACUGGCAGUCUUGAGUGAGAGAGAAGUAGGCGGAAUGUGUGGUGUAGCGGUGAAAUGCAUAGAUAUCGCGCAGAACUCCGAUUGCGAAGGCAGCAUACCG